rnacentral:rRNA from 1 species
GAUGAACGCUGGCGGCGUGCCUAAUACAUGCAAGUCGAGCGAACAGACGAGGAGCUUGCUCCUUCGACGUUAGCGGCGGACGGGUGAGUAACACGUAGGUAACCUACCUAUAAGACUGGGAUAACUUCGGGAAACCGGAGCUAAUACCGGAUAAUAUUUCGAACCGCAUGGUUCGAUAGUGAAAGAUGGCUUUGCUAUCACUUAUAGAUGGACCUGCGCCGUAUUAGCUAGUUGGCAAGGUAACGGCUUACCAAGGCAACGAUACGUAGCCGACCUGAGAGGGUGAUCGGCCACACUGGAACUGAGACACGGUCCAGACUCCUACGGGAGGCAGCAGUAGGGAAUCUUCCGCAAAGGGCGAAAGCCUGACGGAGCAACGCCGCGUGAGUGAUGAAGGUCUUCGGAUCGUAAAACUCUGUUAUUAGGGAAGAACAAACGUGUAAGUAACUGUGCACGUCUUGACGGUACCUAAUCAGAAAGCCACGGCUAACUACGUG